rnacentral:rRNA from 1 species
GUUAUAUGGUCAAGUGACGAAGCGCACACGGUGGAUGCCUAGGCGGUCGGAGGCGAAGAAGGACGUGGUAGCCUGCGAAAAGUCUCGGGGAGCCGGCAAACAGGCCUUGAUCCGGGAAUAUCCGAAUGGGGAAACCCACUUGGCUGAGGCCAAGUAUCCUGUUCUGAAUCCAUAGGGACAGGAGGCGAACCGGGGGAACUGAAACAUCUCAGUACCCCGAGGAACAGAAAUCAACCGAGAUUCCCUUAGUAGUGGCGAGCGAACGGGGAACAGCCCUAAAGUGUUGGGUAGGUUAGUGGAAGCGACUGGAACGUCGUGCGAGACAGGGUGAUAGCCCCGUACACGAAAGCCGACCUAACAUGAAAUUGAGUAAGGCGGGACACGAGUAAUCCUGUCUGAAGAGGGGGGGACCAUCCUCCAAGGCUAAAUACUCCCGACCGACCGAUAGUGAACCAGUACCGUGAGGGAAAGGCGAAAAGAACCCCGGUGAGGGGAGUGAAAGAGAACCUGAAACCGUGUGCGUACAAGCAGUCGGAGCCCCUGCGGGGGUGACGGCGUACCUUUUGUAUAAUGGGUCAGCGACUUACUUCUCAGUGGCCAGCUUAACCGGAUAGGGGAGGCGUAGCGAAAGCGAGUCUUAAAAGGGCGAUUGAGUCGCUGGGAGUAGACCCGAAACCGGGCGAUCUACCCAUGGCCAGGGUGAAGGUGGGGUAACACCCACUGGAGGCCCGAACCGGGAGCUGUUGAAAAAGCUUCGGAUGAGCUGUGGGUUGGAGUGAAAGGCUAAUCAAGCUCGGAGAUAGCUGGUUCUCCCCGAAAGCUAUUGAGGUAGCGCCUCGUGUUUCACUCUUGGGGGUAGAGCACUGUUUCGGCUCGGGGGCCAUCCCGGCCUACCAACCCGAGGCAAACUCCGAAUACCGAGAAGUGCGAUCACGGGAGACAGACGGCGGGUGCUAACAUCCGUCGUCGAGAGGGCAACAACCCAGACCGCCAGCUAAGGUCCCUAAAUCAGGCUUGAGUGGGAAACGAUGUGGGAAGGCCCAGACAGCCAGGAGGUUGGCUUAGAAGCAGCCACCCUUUAAAGAAAGCGUAAUAGCUCACUGGUCGAGUCGGCCUGCGCGGAAGAUGUAACGGGGCUUAAAGCCUGUACCGAAGCUGCGGAUGCACGCGAGUGCAUGGUAGGGGAGCGUUCCGUAGGCCGUUGAAGGUCGGUUGUCAAGCCGGCUGGAGGUAUCGGAAGUGCGAAUGCUGACAUAAGUAACGACAACGGGGGUGAAAGUCCCCCGCGCCGAAAACCCAAGGGUUCCUGCGCAACGGUCAUCGGCGCAGGGUGAGUCGGCCCCUAAGGCGAGGCCGAGAGGCGUAGUCGAUGGGAAGCGGGUCAAGAUUCCCGCACCAGACACCACUGCGAUGGGGGGACGGAGAAGGCUAGGUCAGCUGGGUGAUGGUAGUCCCAGUUCAAGGGUGUAGGGAGGACCGUUAGGCAAAUCCGGCGGUUCAAUUCUGAGACCGGAUGACGAGUCUCCACGGAGACGAAGUGAUUGAUGCCCGGCUUCCAAGAAAAGCCUCUAAGCUUCAGGUGGUGUGUGACCGUACCCGAAACCGACACAGGUGGGUUGGGUGAAAAUCCCCAGGCGCUUGAGAGAACUCGGGUGAAGGAACUAGGCAAAAUGGCACCGUAACUUCGGGAGAAGGUGCGCCUCUGAGUAGGUGAAGACCCGCGCGGUUGGAGCCGAGAGAGGUUGCAGUGACCAGGCCGCUGCGACUGUUUAUUAAAAACACAGCACUCUGCCAACGCGUAAGCGGACGUAUAGGGUGUGACGCCUGCCCGGUGCCGGAAGGUUAAGUGAUGGGGUUAUCCGUGAGGAGAAGCUCUUGAUCGAAGCCCCGGUAAACGGCGGCCGUAACUAUAACGGUCCUAAGGUAGCGAAAUUCCUUGUCGGGUAAGUUCCGACCUGCACGAAUGGCGUAACGAUGGCGGCACUGUCUCCACCCGAGACUCAGUGAAAUUGAAUUCUCGGUUAAGAUGCCGAGUUCCCGCGGCUAGACGGAAAGACCCCGUGAACCUUGACUAUAGCUUUGCACUGGACGUUGAACCGACUUGUGUAGGAUAGGUGGGAGGCUGCGAACCCCAAACGCCAGUUUGGGUGGAGCCGACCUUGAAAUACCACCCUGGUUUGUUCGACGUUCUAACCUCGACCCGUGAUCCGGGUCAGGGACCGUGCAUGGUGGGUAGUUUGACUGGGGCGGUCUCCUCCCAAAGGGUAACGGAGGAGCACGAAGGUACCCUCAGGUUGGUCGGAAAUCAACCCGCUGAGUGUAAUGGCACAAGGGUGCUUAACUGCGAGACCGACACGUCGAGCAGGUACGAAAGUAGGUCAUAGUGAUCCGGUGGUUCUGAAUGGAAGGGCCAUCGCUCAACGGAUAAAAGGUACUCCGGGGAUAACAGGCUGAUACCGCCCAAGAGUUCAUAUCGACGGCGGUGUUUGGCACCUCGAUGUCGGCUCAUCACAUCCUGGGGCUGAAGUCGGUCCCAAGGGUAUGGCUGUUCGCCAUUUAAAGUGGUACGCGAGCUGGGUUUAGAACGUCGUGAGACAGUUCGGUCCCUAUCUGCCGUGGGCGUUGGAGAUUUGCGGGACGCUGCUCCUAGUACGAGAGGACCGGAGUGGACGGACCUCUGGUGUUCCGGUUGUCACGCCAGUGGCAGUGCCGGGUAGCUAUGUCCGGACGGGAUAACCGCUGAAAGCAUCUAAGCGGGAAGCCCCUCCCAAGAUCAGAUCUCCCAAGGUACUCAAGACCUCUAAAGGUCCGUUGCAGACGACAACGUCGAUAGGCGGGAUGUGGAAGCGUGGCAACACGUGCAGCUAACCCGUACUAAUUGACCGUGCGGCUUGACCAUAUAACACCCAAGC